UGUGGGACAAGAGGCAAAUUUAGUUGCAACUACACUGGUCACAAUCGAGAAAUUCUUGGUACAGCUGACGAUAAUGUAAUGUAAGGUGAUAAAUGAUAAUCCUUGUAUUUGUUGUGUUCUCUACUAUCUUUUUGCAGUGUCAAUGCAUGACAGGAUAUCACAACCAUUUUUAGCAGAUGAGCUAAAACUAUCAGGAGGAUUAAUAAUGAUUAGUGAUGCUGAGAAAUGUGUCAAUCAUUCUGGAUUUGUAAGGUAAUUAUGCCACACUUUUCUGCUUGUACUUCUUCUAGACAGGAAAAUCACAUUUUUUCCUCUUCUCCUCUGAGCAGUAAUUUCAAAUUCUAUUUUUAGUUUAUCGCAUCAAAUUCAUAAAACUAACUUUUGUAACGAAAAGUUUUUUCAAUUAUGCCUAUAUAAUCACUGGGAAAAAAAUGCAGUAUAAUGCUAAAUGAUCCUUUGUAGGUGACAAACGCGAGUUUUAGGACCACACAUGUAUACUUUCCGUGCAAUUCUUAGAUGAAAUUUGGCUGGAAAACUAUUUUUUACAUUUGACAGAACAAAAGUGGUGAAAUUUAUUGACAGGACAGCAAACUUUAUAUGUGUCACUUAGAUUGUUUCACCCCAAGUUCAAGAUCACAAGACUUGCAAACGACGUUUAUUUGCUUCUUUUUUCUUUUACAUGGGAAAAGAUAACAAAUUACUUUAAAUCUUUCAUUAGCAACGUGACUUGAAUCAAUCAAGAGAAAAAACUCCAUUUUCUUGAGUGGAGCUUUCCAAACGAUCAAACCCUCUUUAUUUCUAUGACCUUCAUUUGCCAGAAAAUGGUCACAUUUAUUCUUCUUCCGCAAGAUGUAUGUAAUAGUAGCCUUCAUGGUUUCCAGCAAAUUUUUAUGAUCUUCAAUAAUAGCCCUAACAAGUGAUACUAUCUGUCCUCUUUGAUAAGCUUGACAACAAGUAGGCAGUUUGUUUCCGCCUUUAAUUCUUUAUACCCAAUUCUUUUUGUUAGUUUUGACCCUUGUUUGAUGCUCCAUAGCUCUAUAGUGAGGCUUGAAGUUGGAUUCGUCUUACCUGAAACCCGAUAUCUACUUCCCUUUGUCUCAAAAAUUCCUUAAGUGCCGCAUGUGCCUUGUUUGAGUCUUGACAUUAGCAUUACAGGCAUUUUGAAAAUAAUGCAAUAUUUGUAUCAGGAAUUAUACUAAUUUUGGAAUGUGGUGGCAUGGUGCUAUGCACUCCUGAUUAAAGCCACUUCCUGUGGCUUUGCCUAGACAUCAUCAUCUCUCGUCAGGUUUAGCUAAAAAAUUAUUGGGAAAACAAAAUAAUAAAAGAAAAUUUAUGCGGAAGAAUUGAGCUGAUAUACCCAUAUCUUAUAGUAAUUCUGAAGUGGAUAUUCAAAUUCUUUUAAAAGAUAACAUAAUAUGCAAUUAAGAUCUUUGAGAAGGACAUAAAUUGCAGUUACAUAAAUUGCCUAUGUGUAAUGUGAGAGCACCCCCUGGACUUAAAACUAUAGUAAAACAUCUGAUGUUUUAGUAUGUUGCGUUUUCUGGUUUUCUUUUCUUUAUGCUUUCAGCUGUCUGUAAAUGAGGAGAACAAUUGGAUAGCUCACGAAAAUUAACAUCUUAUGAAGUUUCACUUGAGCAUACAUAACAAAAUAUAACAAGCAUGCUGGUAUUGCAUGCAACUGAUUAGCUCAUAUACACAGAGAAAACAGAGAAGAAGAAAAAGGAGCCAGGAUAGACCAUUCCCCGGAACAUGUGGGGAAGAAGAGAAGUGGCACCAGAUGGAACAACAUUAACGGAGGAAGAAUCCGAGGAAGGAUCAUCCUUCUGUGGCUUUGAUGGCUCUGGAGCAGGUGCUGGUGGUAAUGGUGGGACAAAGAAUUUCAAAGGAAGCAGUACUUUAUCCACUUGGUAAAUAGCUAAUUGAUUGUCAGUGUAAAUUGUACUGGUCAGACUUGCAUUCACAAUUCCGGUUGUUAUGUUCACUGCUGUCCCAUUUGUGGUUAUGUUGAUGGGGAAUUCACGAUUAGUGGUUCCUCCAGCUUGUGUUGGUACAGGGUUGCUAGCCGUUUGGAACUGCGACAGGGAGAAAUAUGAGGGGAGGAUAUGGAAUUUAACCAAGUCAGCUUUCCGCUGAUCGCUGAAAGAGUUGAGGGUGCCAGUUUUCAGGUUCAAGAAAGCACCAUCUGGUGGAACAAACAUGGUUAAGCUGUUGGAUUUGUUUAGAUAUGAAGUGAUUUCACCAACUUCAUGAGUGAUUUGUAACAACUUGAUGAACGUCGAACAUGAUCCAGCUUUCCCAAGGAUUUUUAUCACGUUUGGCGGACCAGAUGGUCCUGGAGCCGGAGCAGAAACUACAAUUGGGGACAAUAUUGGUGCCGGAGGAGAAGAAAUAGUUGGUGGUGGUGAAGCCGGAGCAGAAGAUUGAGCCAGGGGAAGUGAAGCCGGAGCCGAAGAUUGAGUUGGUGGCAUUGGAGCCAUAGCAGGUGCUUGAGCCAAAAUGCAAGUGAAUUGGAGCAAGAAGAGGAUCAAGACAAGAAAAGGUGACGCUAAGUUGUAAUCCAUUUUUCUUUCUUGAUUUAGCUCAAUUUGAAGUUGUCAGAUGAUGGGGGAGAAGGAGAAUGUGUGCCAGUUAUAUAGUAAGCUGUGGGUUGAUUUCUUGCUCCAAAAUAAUUAAACAAAAAAGAUGUGAUAAGCGGUUUGGGGAAAAAGUUUGUGGGGUACUGUGACGACAGAAAUUGCUAGGUGAAAAGGUGCAAUCUAAGGGUGAGCUGAGAAUAAUAUGUUGUUUACUGUUAAAAGACAGCUACUGGCUUGAUUAUGAAGAGAGAAACAGCUGAGGAAGUGAACUAAUUCCUUUGUAGAUACUAUUAUAUACAUCCGUACAUAGAUUUGUAUGUAUAGCCACUUCAAUCGUGUUCGUCCUUUCUCCAAAUAUCUUUUUUUUCUGGGAACAUGGUAAAUUAGACGAUUUUUCAUUCACCUAUGGAUAAAAUGCUCUAGUUUUCCAUUCUUGUAUGAGUCCGAAAAUUGAAUUGGCCAUUCAGUUAUUUUGUGUGAUUUGAGGUGGGUAAAGUAGUUAGGUAAAAAUAUCUCAAGUUGCCUGUUUUGCUUUAUGCAUUAGUGUCAAGACCCGAACCGAGGCCUGACCGUAACGAGCAUCCCGAACCACGAAGGCUCGGUACGUCCUUCUAUAUCUGGUGAUCAUGCACAUCAUUCAUAUAAUGAAAAGGAAUGCGGAAAUACAAAAUACAACAGAAUCAUGGUCAUAAGUCUAAUGUGAUCAAUAAUGGAAAAUGAACUCCAAAACCAUCUAUCAACAUCUGAAAACCGUUUGUGAAAUCUCUACUACAUGACUAAUGACAACUGUCUGAAAACAGGGACAAGGACCCCAGUAGACCAAAACGGAAAUAAACGACAUAAUCUGGAAAGACGGGCCUUCUGGAAUAGAGAAGGCUCACCAACUUAACACUACAACUCUGUCUAAUAAAUCUACUACCUUUCUGAACCCCUAGACUGAGCCUUAGAACCUGGAGGGAGGAGGGGGGUCAAUACAGAUGUACUGGUACGCAAAUCAAUCCAAAAUAAAGCUUUUAUAUAUAUAAAAUAAUGAGAGAGCAAUUUGUCAAAAUAUCAUGCACGUAAUAGUUCUAAAACACAUGGGCACUUUUCUAAAACUCAUAAAUCAUUCUUGUCAAUGCAAAAAUAUGAUCUUUGUAUUACUUCUGAGUUAGGUGGCACUCCCCUACAAGUCUGAUAUUCCACGGGCUAUAUGAAAUCCGUCGUUGAAUCGGCGGGGAAGCCCCCAACCUAAGUGCCGCAAGGGAUGGAGUGUCUGAGUCUGAUACGCCACAAGGCUCUAGGCUAGCGUAGUAUAAUCAUUUGGCGUGUAGCAUGAGUUAUGUGAACUGAGCACACUAUAAAGCGUGAGUACAUGGAUCAUGAGCUGUAUGACCUUAAUUUGGAGUUCAUAACUUAUGGAAUGUGAUCCUGACUACUGAAUGAACUGGAAUUCCUCAUUUAGGAACUGGAAGAGCACGUGAUUCUCUAUCAUAUACAUGAACAUGAACUAUGAUCAUGGAACUGAAUGUGAGGCAUUAGUGGGUAUUCGGAUAACUGAAAAAUACUAAGAUAAGAAUAAGUUGAGUUUCACCCUCACUUUUUGACGUUCUAUAUCAUACUGCAUCACUACUAAAAUCUGAGAGCCUCACCUGGUUAUUCAUUUUAUGAUCUCCCCCUUAGCUUUAAGCCAUCAUCUUAAGUUUGAGAGAUCCCUUACUAGACUCUAAACUGAACUACACUCACUGCACUUUGGAGUCUGGAAUAUGACAUACAUGAAAUUAAUAGAACUUAACUCGAAUGGCUACACCUAGAAGGGGAAAACCCACUGCUAAUCCUACCCUCUGAGACACACUCUAUCUUUCUAUACCCCCAGUAUUCAAUCAUAUAACACUUGAACACUUACUAACUUUGAAUCCUUAUGAGUAUUCCCAUAGUCGGAGUGCACACCCUAUAGCGGUUCAGUUCUUAUUUCUGUCGGUUAAACCUUUUCAAACUUAGAUUAUGACACUUAACAUGGAUAUCACCAAGCCUUUGAUGAAUCGUACUACUAGUCUUUCUCUACCUAGCAAGUCAACGGUACUACUAUGUCUACUAGACACAUGCAACAUGUAAUAGUCUUAGAAAAUAUUGUGACUCCAUAUCACCUUGGGAAUACUUAUACCUCAUACAUACUACAUCAUACUUCUCUAUGAAUCAAAUAAACUUAAUCUGUUCCAUACAUCGUUCAAGUCUAUUAGAUCACUUCUAUAUAACUAGUGUUCAUUAACCAAGAAAUCUUCACAUCUACCUUCAUGGACAUCAACUGUUCAAACUUAGUACUAGUGCUAUGCAUGAUUUACAACCCAACCUGACACAUGACUCUCACUUGAAAACCAUGAAAUAAACAUCAAGAAACACUAGCACACUAAAACUUCAAAACCACAAUAUUCGAUCAUGACCUUACGGUUUUUCCUUAUCAUAACUCGUUAGCACGCACUAUUUUCUUAUCAUUAACCUACUAAUUUAUUCUCACAAAACAUAAAUCAUUAACCUCAUGCCACUAUUCUUACAUCCAUAUCCUAUAUUAAAUUCAAGCCAAUAGUCUAGCAUCAAUUAUCUACCACCAAUGAAGAAGGAAACAUUAUAUACUAGCCCAUCAAAUUGGGACAUUCUAACCAAAUACCUCAAAAAUCUACUAAUACCUUCUCACAAGUAGUACUAGUUUACAACUACCAACAAAAANNNNNNNNNNNNNNNNNNNNNNNGGGGGGGGUAAAGUCACAUAAUAGACAUGGUCAACCUUAAUCUUAUAUUAUAACCCCAUACAAUCCUAUAUACUUAUAUGACUCUCUCACAUCACACUUACUUACCCCAGCGGGCAUUUAGACUACCUUCAAAUUCCACAUUCGACAAUGAGUCCAUACUUACAACUUACUGGCUAAUCUAGCCAUUUUCAUACUUUAAGCAAACAACAAUUCACCUUGACUAAUAACUCCUUCUUUACCUUCUACUAAACUAACACAUAAGGACGCACACUUCAUUACCAACUCAAUCUCAUGUGAAAAGAUUUGACUAUACAAAUAUACAACCAACAUAAGAACAAGUUGCUAGUGAAUCGAAAUAGGCCUCACACGGCUUCACUAGACUUUGAUUUUUGUAUUUUGAACAAGAAAAUGAAAUGAAUAACAAGGAAACUAUGCUAGUGAAUCGAAAGAGACCCACACGGUUUUACUAGACUUUGAUUUUUCAAAAAUACCAUGAUAACAAGAUUACAUAUUACAAGAGAUAGACAAUUGACACACAAUUUGCAAUGAUCUAAGAAUAUAUAUCUUACUCUGUAUAAAUAAAAUCUGAGUCAAACACUUCCCCCACAGACUACCAUACCAUCCACACAUGCCACUAGGUACCACAUUAAUCUAUCACUAUAAAGGGGUAAAUCAUCCUCAAAAAUCGGUUAUUCAACUAUAACUAUUUAGUUACAUAAAAGUCAUCCUCACUGUGACCUCUGAACUUGUGGCUUCAUUUCACCAACUUCUUGGUCUAAUCUCACUACUAAUAGCUCAUGACACUGACACUUUAACUUAUGCUACUAUUCGGGUGGAAAUAAAGUUCCAACAAUUCUGCUACACAUCAUUCCCCUUUUAGGCAUGACUUCUGCAACAUAAAUCUGAAAAGGACGGAAUACACUUAAUACUGCAGGCUAAAAAAUACGAUUUCAUUAAAAUCAAGGUUCACACUAGAACCAACACACUCUGAAGCACUAAUGAACACUUCUCAAGUCCUUGCAGAAACCUAAUAUGAUUCAAUCAGAAAGGACCAAACCAUUUAGACUCUAAGCUUCUGUACUUGAAUCAACCCAAUAAUGAGACAUAUCUGAGAACAUCAGAGUAAGGAAAAAAUUGGGAUGAUUGUUACUUUCGUAUAGACGACACCAUCACACUAGUUAGAGUAUGAACGAGGAACAUUCUGACUCCAUAGCACGAACUAGAACAUGAAAAAAGGAAAACAAUCCUAAAUGACUAGUAGCCUCCUAUUUAUAAGUGUGGCGUGCUACACACCCAUAAAUAAGACUCUACCCGAUGCGAUUUUGUAGACACCCUGGUACCAUGAACCGUGCUCUGAUACCAAGUUUGUCACGACCCAAACCGAGGCCCUAGCCGUAAUGAGCAUCCCAAACCACGAAGGCUCGGUACGCCCUUCUGUAUCUGGUGAUCAUGCACAUCAUUAAUAUAAUGAAAAGGAAUAUGAAAAUACAAAAUACAAUGGAAUCAUGGUCAUAAGUCUAAUAUGAUCAAUAAUGGAAAAUGAAAUCCAAAACCAUCUAUUAAUAUCUAAAAACCGUCUACCAAAAUCUCUACUACAUGACUAAUGAAAACUGUCUGAAAACUGAGACUAGGCCCCCCAGUAGACCAAAAUAGAAAUAAACGACAUAAUCCGGAAAGAUGGGCCUUCUGGAAUAGAGAAGGCUCACCAACUUAACAUUAUAACUCUAUCUGAUAAAUCUACUGUCUUUCUGAACCCCUAGACUGAGCUUAAGAACCUGGUGGGAGGAGGGGGUUCAAUACAGAUGUACUGGUACAUAAAUCAAUCCAAAAUAAAGCUUUAUAUAUAUAAAAUAAUGAGAGAUCAAUUUGUCAAAAUAUCAUGCACGUAAUAGUUCUAAAACACAUGGGCACUUUUCUAAAACUCAUAAAUCAUUCUUGUCAAUGCAAAAAUCUGAUCUUUGUAUUACUUCUGAGUUAGGUGGCACUCCCCUACAAGUUUGAUAUUCCAUGGGCUAUAUGGAAUCCGCCAUUGACUCGGCGGGGAAGCCCCCAACCCAAGUAUGCCGCAAGGGUUGGAGUGUUUGAGUCUGAUACGCCACAAGGCUCUAGGCUAGCGUAGUAUAAUAACCCAGAUCGGUAAAUCAUGGUUUUGAGCAACAGGUUUUCUGAACCCAUGCCUUCUUCGGGGAACCACGUAAACUCUUUUUAUGCCCAUUUUUAUCCUAUUCUGAAUCAUGCAUUUUUCUAAUUUCAAUAUCUGAAUAGUCUGAUUUCAAACAUACAUUCUAUUCUGUUUUAAAUUAUCAUGGCAUAAUCUGAAUUGAUGUCGUUACACCAAGACUUGCAAGUCCUAUUUCUGAGCCAUAAUGCAUCAUGCAUGAUUCUUUCAUUAAAACACAGUCCAGACCACCCAAACAUACAAAUAGUAUAAGAGUUUUCAUGUUCCGAAAGCAUAAGUCAAAACUAUGCAAGAACUCUUCAAAUAUAAGGUGGUCAUGUGCUUUUGACAAAAUUCAUGCACUCUUUCAUUAUAUGCAUUCUCAACAUUUUUCAAUAUAAAUAACCCUCUCUUUGGAAUUCAAGAUUCAUAAAUCAAGACACUUCGUAACAUGUUUUUCAAGAUGCAUUUCAAAACAAUCCAUAUUAUAUAAUAAGUAAGGAAAAUCAUAACAAGAGAGGGAUUUUCACAUGAAUCAUGCUCUCAAUUCAAUCAUCAAUAUUAAAACAUGUAAAUAUAUACAUAUAUCAAUUCGAAUAAAUUUGGGGAAGGCCUAAAGACCAAAACAAUACCGUCAAAACUUUUAAAAACAUAAUUAUAUUCAUAAAUUCAAAAUCCCAUUCUUAAAAUCAUGAUUUCUAUGCCCAUGAGAUUUGAGGAAAACCCCGCGUACCUCGAUUACGGAGAAUAAUGGAUGAUUCUUGAAGCCUACGGUUUAGGGAUUCCAAAUCUUCAAUCAAUCUUUAAAACCCACGAUUGAAUCUUGAGGGAUCUUGAUACUUUGGUUGAGACCUUAAGGGUUAUUUCUUGAGGGAAAUUGGAGAAAAGAGUGUAUUUUUGGUGAAUUAGGGGCUGAAUUUCGGUGUUUUUGACGAUUGGGGUCGAAGGGAAAGGACCAAAAUGCCCCUUGACCCUUAAGAAGCUAAAACUGUGCGGGAAUAGGCCCCGCGUCAUGACCCCUAAUUGGGUUAAUUAGCCCUCGCGACGCGACCCCCAUUCAGGUCAAGCAAAACUCGCGUCGUGGGGCUAUCACGACCCCUCACUGCCUCUGAUGGCAUAACUUUUCACUCAGUUAUCGGAAUUUGAUGAAAUUGGUAUCGUUGGAAAGAUGAUUCGAAGAGAUUUCAUUUUAUAUAUAUUAGGCUCUCUAAUUCAUUAUAUAAAAAGAGUUAUGAUCGAUUGAAGUUGACCAAAGUUUCGACGCUCACUCAAACUCGAACGAUAGGAAAGUUUUCAACUCAUCCUUGAGUUUGGGGACCUCUAUCAUCUCAAUUCAUGCUCAAAUCGGUUCCCACACUACAUAAUUGAUUAACAUGCCAAAUUGGCAUAGGAUUUAUGGCUUUUGGAUCAUCUACGCAUAGAAAUGACAGUUUUCGUUCUAGCUCGAAAUGCAGGGUGUUACAGUUAGAGGCCUACUCACUCUAAUAUUCGUAUUGUGAGGAUGAAAGAAUUGGUUUCUUCCAAGAGUAUCUCCAUUUUCAAAGCUCGAACUUGAGAUCUCUAGUUAAAGAUGUAAGGAUAUCAUCCAUCCCACCAGACUCGAUGGUGAUAUAUUUCAAGUUGCAUAUAUGCAAUCACAAAAUAAGUAUAGGAAAUGAUUACUAAUGGAUUUGUGGGACAAGAGGCUAAUUUAGUUGUAACUGCACUAGUCACUAUCGAGAAUAUCUUGGUACAGCUGACGAUAAUGUAAUGUAAGAUAACGAGUGAUAAUCCAUAUAUUUCUUGUGUUGUCUUCUAUCUUUUUGCAGUGAAUGCAUGACAGGAUAUCACAAUCAUUUUUAGAGAUGAGCUAAAACUUUCAGGAGGAUUGAUAAUGAUUAAUGGUGCUGAGAAAUUUGUUUCAAUCAUCCUGGAAUGGUAAGGUAAUUUUCGGACGCUUUUCUGCUUGUACUUUUCUCCUCUUCCUCUCUGAGCAGUACUUUCACAUUUAAUUUUCAGUUUAUUGCAUCAGACUCAUAAAACUAACUUUUGUAACAUAAAAGUUUAUUUUAAUUAUGCCUAUAUAUCACUGGCAAACGUGAGUCCUAUGAAUACCCAUCUAUACUUUCUGUGCAAUUCUCCUUAGAUGAAUUUGGUUGGAAAACUAUUUUACAUUUGACAGUGCAGAAGUGGUGAAAUUUUUUGAUGGGAGAGCGAACUUUUUAUGCGUAUCUAUUAGAUUGUUUCACCUCUAGUUCAAGAUAACAAUACUUGCAAACAAAGUUUAUUUGCUUUUUUUUUUUUUUUAACAUGGGAAAAGACCACAAAUUACUUUAUAGCAAUGUGACUUGAAUCGACAAAGUGGAGUUUUCCAAACGAUCAAACCCUCUUUAUGUCUGUGACCUUCAUUUGCCAGAAAGUCGGCACAUUUCUUCUCCUUAGAUCAGAUGUAUAUAACGGUAGCUUUUGUGGUUUCCAACGAAUUUUAACGGUCUUCAAUAAUAACCCUAAAGGGUGAUGCUCUGUGUACUCUUUGAUAAGCUUGACAACAAAUAGACAGUUUGUUUCCAUUUUCCACCUCUAAUUCUUUAUACCCUAUUUCUCUUGCUACUGUUGGCCCUUGUUUGAUGUUCCAUGACUUUAUGUGGGGCUUGAAUUUGGCUUCGUAUUACCUGCAUAACUCAAUAUCUACUUUGUUUGUCUCUGGAAAUCCUUCCAAAUGCAGCAUCUCUUGUUUGACUCUUGACAUUGGUGUUAGUGGCAUUCUGUAGAUACGGCAAUGUUUGUAUUAGGAAGUUGUCUAAUUUUAUAAUCAGGUGGCAUGGUGCUAUGUACUCCUUUCGUUAAAGCCACUUCCUGUGCAUUUGCCUAGACACCAUCAUCGCAAAUUUAGCUAAAUAAUAUUGGGAAAACAAAAUAAUAAAAGAAAACUUAUGCAGAAGAAUAGAGCUGAUAUACCCAUAUCUUAUAGUAAUUUUGAAGUGGGUAUUCUAAUUCUUUAUAAAGAUAACACAAUAUGUGUCGUAUUUUGGUUUUGAUGAUUUACAAACAAGAAUGCAAGGGACCUGGUCCUUGCUGUGCUGAUUUAACAAUCAAAGGAAGCUUUGUACGGCUGUAAACUGUACUGUCUGUUUUGGCUAGUGGUGAUGCAGCUGGCGCGCUAACACCUGGACCAAUAGAGUGGCGCUAAGGUCUUACUCUCUCUUAUAAAAGGAAGAUGUGGCAUCAGCAAAACUUAGCUUUUGCAAUCAAAAGUUUACUCUCUGAAGCAAAAGCCUUUUUCAUCAGAUUACUGCUCACUUUCAACAAGGGACCUGAUAGAACAGCAGUUCAGAUUUUGUUGAUUUCUUGAGUUGUAGUCUUUUGUGCUUACCAUUGUAAACCUACUCCUAUGUUAUAAAGGAUUGUAGGUAUCAGUCUUGUCUAGGUCUUAGAUUGAGUCGUGUUAACUAGAGCUAGUUAUCGAUUCAGCUUUGGUUUAGUCAAGAUUUCUUCAUCAUGCCUUAUGUUAUUCUGGGUAGAGUUACCUAGGGAAUCAACUAGAGUUGGUUGAUUUGAAGGGUGCAAUAGGGUUGCUGCACAAAUCUUACUGGAAAUCCUGUGAGAUAGAUUGUGUUUUUCCCUCCCUUGUGCAAGGAGCUUUUCACGUAAAUAUUGAGUGUUCUUUAUUUCAGUUCUUUACGUUUAUCUUAUUUAUUUAUUGUUCUAUUGUUCAAAGGACGUGGUCCCUUUACUUGUAGCGGACUCGUAUAAGCCAACAAUAUGCAAUUAAGUUCUUUUAGAAGAAGGCUGUAAACUGCAAUCACAUAUACAAAAAGUUUCCAAUGUGUAAUGUGAGAGCACCUCUGGACUUAGGACUAUAGUACAACAGCUUAUGGUUAAGUAUAUUGCUGUUUUCUUCUUCUUUUUUUUAAACUGUCUGUAAAUGAGGAAAACUAUUGGUAAAUAAACAUCAUAUUUAGUUCCACUUGAAUGUACAUAGCAUAUUAUCACAAGCAUGCUGGUAUUGCCUGUGACUUAUUAGCUCAUAUACACAAAGCAAACAGAGAAGAAAAAGGAACCAGUUAUAUAGUGAGCUGUGGAUUGAUUUCUUGCUCCAAAAUAAUUAAUAAAAAAAUAUGUGAUAAGAGGUUUUGGGGAAAAAGUUUGUGGGGUGUUGUGAUGACAGAAAUUGUUAGGUGAAAAGGUGCAAUCUAAGGUGAGUAGAGAAUAAUAUGUUAUUUACUUUUAUAUGCAGCUACUAGCUUGAUUAUGAAGGCAAAAAACAGCUGAGGAAGUGAACUAAUUCCUUUGUAGAUACUAUUAUAUAGAUCCAUAAAUAGAUUUGUAUGUAUAGCCACUUCAAUCGUGCUCGUCCUUUCUCCAAAGUUAUCUAGACAUUAUUAUAUUCAUGAUCCUUUAUUCACCUAUGGAUAAAAUGCUCCAGUUUUCCAUUCUCAUAUGAGUCCGGAAAGUGAGUUGGCCAUUCAGUUACGUUGUGUGAUUUGAGAUGGGUAAAUUGUUAGGUAAAAAUAUUUCAAAUUGUCUUUUUUGCUGUAUGUGUUUAGAGGCCUACUUCACUUUACUAAUCCAUAUUCGUCUUGCAUGGAUGAUAGAAACACUUUCUUCCAAGAUUAUUUCCAUUUUCAGAGUUCGAACAUGAGAUCUCUAGUUAAAGGUGUAAGGAUAUCAUCCAUUCCACCAGACUCGUUAGUGGUAUAUUUCAAGUUGUAUAUGCAAUCAUAAAGUAAGUAUAGGACAAUUGUAAAAUGAUUGCUCGUGGAUUUGUGGGACAAGAGGCUAAUUUGGUUGCAACUGCACUGGUCACAAUCAAGAAUACCUUGGUACAGCUGACGAUAAUGUAAUGUAAGAUAACAAGUGAUAAUCCAUAAUCCAUAUAUUUGUUGUGUUAUCUGCUGUCUUUUUGCAGUGAAUGCAUGACAGGAUAUCACAACCAUUUUUAGCAGAUGAGCUAAAACUUUCAUGAGGACUAAUAAUGAUUAGUGAUGCUGAGAAAUGUGUCAAUCAUUCUGGAUUUGUAAGGUAAUUAUGCCACACUUUUCUGCUUGUACUUGUUCAAGACAAGAAAAUGACCUUUUUUCCUCUUCCUCUCUGAGUAGUAAUUUGACAUUCAAUAUUUAUUUUGCUGCAGAAAAAUCAUUAAACUAACUUUUGUAACAAAAGCUUAUUUAAUUAUGCCUAUAUAUCACCGGCAAAAAAAGCAGUAAUGCUACAUGAUCACUUUUAGGUGACAAACGUGAGUCCUAUGACUGCACAUCUAUACUUCCUGUGCAACUCUCCUUAGAUGAAUUUGCUUGGCAAACAAUUUUUUACAUUUGACAGCGCAAAAGUGGUGAAAUUUCUUGAAGGGGGAGAGCAAAGUUUUUAUGCGUAUCUUAGAUUGUUACACCGGGCGGAUCUACAGGGGUUCACUGGUAUCAUGGCACCCGCAAACUUCGAUCGGAUAACUUUAUGUAUAUAUAUAUAUAUAUAUUGAAUAAAAUCGGUAUAUUAUUCAAGUGUCAUCCGGUGCAGCAGUUGAGGAUGUAAUGCCAGUGGCAAACGCGCUGAAAACUUAAUCUUUGUUUGACUCCUUUUUUUUUUUGGGUAAUCUUUGUUUAAGAAUUUUUAACUUAAAGUGUAGAGUAUAAUUGAAGAUUCCUUCUUCUUUCAAAUUUAUAGUUAACCUCCCCUCGUAAAUCAUAAUAAUGAUGCUUGGCUUGAUGUUAUAAUUUCUUAACAAUAGAAUUGGAAAUAUCCAUUGAAUGUUGGCAACUAUUUUGUACUUUCACGCUGACUGAUAAGUUGAAUUUAACUCUUAUUUACACAAUUUAUAGUAAUAACAACAACAACGACAACAAACCCAAUGUAUUCACACAUAGUGGGUAUGAGGAGGGUAAAAUGUAUACAGUCCACACACUACCUCCGGAGAAAUAGAAAGGUUGUUUUCGAUAGUAUUUAUAAUAAUAAUCACAUUUUUAUUAUUUGAUUUAUUUGUCUAUAUAAAUUGAAAAGACAAAUAAUCAAAUCGAAACCCAAAGUAUAUAAAAUCGACAAAAUAUUUGUCUUAUUUGGAGCAGUGUAAAUAGCAUAACAUAAAGCAAAAAAUUAACUGAUUUCCAGCUGAAUUCGUAAAAAUUAGGUUCUUCGAUAAUGUUUCAAUGAAAUUUUCCUUCAAAAAUCUCUUACUAACAAGCCAAAUUCCAGUGGAACGCCUAUAAAAAUUAUCCUUUUUGAGUAGUAGCUUUAACGUUAAAAGUGACAUGAUACCCGCAACCUCGAAAUCCUAGAUCCGCCUCUGUAAUACACCCCUAGUUCAGGAUCACAAGACUUGCAAACGAAGUUUAUUUGUUUCUUUUUCCAAACAUGGAAAAGACAACAAAUUACAUUAAAUCUUUCAUAAGUAACGUCAUUUGAAUCGACCAAGAGGAACAAAAAACUCCAUUUUCUUGAGUGGAGCUUUCCGGACGAUCAAACCCUCUUUAUGUAUAUAAUUUGCCAGAAAACCGGCACAUUUAUUCUCUCUUCCACCAGAUGUAUAUACUAGCAGCAUUCAUGGUUUCCAGCAUAUUUUUACGAUCUUCAAUAAUAGCGCUAAAGACUGAUACUAUGUCAACUCUUUGAUAAGCUUGACAACAAGUAGGCAGUUUGCUUCCACUUCUAUUUCUCUGUCGCCGAUUCUUUUUGUUAGUUUUGACCCUUGUUUGAUGAUCCGUAGGUGUAUAGUGAGUCUUGAAGUUGGCUUCGCCUUACCUGAAACCCUAAAUUCAGUCUCUCAAAAUCCUUAAAUGAAAAAUCUCUUGUUUGAGUCUUGACAUUAGCCUUACUGGCAUUUUGUAAAUAGGGCAAUGUACGUAUUAGGAAGUAGGCUAACCUUGGAAUGUGAUAGCAUGGCGCUAUGCACUCCUUACUUAAAACCACUUCCUGGCCUUUGCCUAGACGUCACCAUCUUUCAUCAGCUUUAGCUAAUUAAUAUUGUGAAAAAAAAUAGAAACUUACACGGAGGAAUUGAGCUGACUUACCCGUAUCUUAAAGUAAUUUUUAAGUGGAUGUUCAAAUUUAUUUUAAAAGAUAAUGUAAUAUGCAAUUAACAUCUAUGCCAAGAAGGCCAGAAAUGGGAUUGCCUAUGUGUAAUGUGAGAGAACCCCUGGACUUAGGACUAUAGUACAACAGCUUAUGUUCUAGUAUGUUUAUGUUCUUUUUAUUUUUUUUUGGCUUUUAGCUGUCUGUAAAUGAGGAGAAUUAUUGGAUAGGUAGUCAAAAAUAACAUCUUAUUAAGUUCCACUUGAAUGUACAUAACAUAAUAUCACAAAUGUGCUGGCUUUUCAUGCGACUUAUUAGCUCAUAUACACAAAGCAAACAGAGAAGAAGAAAAAGGAGCCAGGAUAGACCAUUCCCCGGAACAUGUGGGGAAGAAGAGAAGUGGCACCAGAUGGAACAACAUUAACAGAGGAAGAAUCCGAGGAAGGAUCAUCCUUCUGUGGCUUUGAUGGCGCUGGAGCAGGUGCUGGUGGUAAUGGUGGGACAAAGAAUUUCAAAGGAAGCAGUACUUUAUCCACUUGGUAAAUAGCUAAUUGACUGUCAGUGUAAAUUGUACUGGUCAGACUUGCAUUAACAAUCCCAGUUGUUAUGUUCACUGCUGUCCCAUUUGUGGUUAUGUUGAUGGGGAAUUCGCGAUUAGUGGUUCCUCCAGCUUGUGUUGGUACAGGGUUGCUAGCCGUUUGGAACUGUGACAGGGAGAAAUAUGAGGG
rnacentral:lncRNA from 1 species